AUGGCUUCCAGUUUGCAGCCAUGGGUUCUCCUCCUCAUCUUCCCCCUCCUCUGUUUGGUGCUUAGCCCCGCAGCACUUGCGGCAGUGUUCAACGAUAACUUCGUGGCAGUAGGGGGUACAGAUAGUAAUCACCUAGUUGAUCAGGGGACAGCAGUUCGUCUCGUCUUGGAUAAGAGCUCCGGGGCUGGAUUUAGUUCCAAGGAGGCGUAUGGUUCAGGGUUCUUCCAUAUGAGGAUCAAGACACCGCCCGGGUACAGUGCCGGAGUCCUCACAAUGGAACCCGAGCAAGGUGACCACAAUGAGGUGGAUUUGGAGUUCCUGGGCAACGUGGACGGCAAGCCGGUCAUUCUCCAGACCAACAUCUUCCUAAACGGCAAAGGUGACAGUGAGCAGAGGUACGAGCUGUGGUUCGACGCUGGAGCCGAUUUCCAUGACUACAAGAUACUCUGGAACCCCUACCAGCUCGUGGUGUUCGUCGACGACACGCCGAUACGGGUGCUCAAGAACCUCGCGCCCAGCCAGUUCCCGGUGAGGCCGUUCAAGAUCCGGGCGAGCAUCUGGGACGGCUCCGAUUGGGCGACGGGCAAUGUCAAAUACAGGGUCGACUAUAACCGUGCGCCGUUCACCACUGUGUUUCAGGACUUCGACGUCAAUGGCUGCCCCGCCACCGGUGGCGCGUCGUGUGGCUCGCCGAGCCUGUCGUGGAACGCAAUCCAGAGCCUGACGCCCGCGCAGUGGGAGGCGUACAAGGACGCCAAGAGCAAGCACAUGACCUACGACUACUGUACCAAUAAGGACAGGGCGUACGCCCAGCUGCCGGGAGAGUGCAACAACAACUAA
rnacentral:rRNA from 1 species